GAUGUCAGGGAAGGCUAAAUCUGA
rnacentral:piRNA from 1 species